rnacentral:rRNA from 1 species
GCUCAACCGAGGAAGUGCUUCGAAAACUGGUAAACUUGAGUGCAGAAGAGGAAAGUGGAACUCCAUGUGUAGCGGUGGAAUGCGUAGAUAUAUGGAAGAACACCAGUGGCGAAGGCGGCUUUCUGGUCUGUAACUGACGCUGAGAUUCGAAAGCAUGUGUAGCAAACAGGAUUAGAUACCCUGGUAGUCCAUGCCGUAAACGAUGAGUGCUAAGUGUUGGAGGGUUUCCGCCCUUCAGUGCUGCAGCUAACGCAUUAAGCACUCCGCCUGGGGAGUACGAUCGCAAGAUUGAAACUCAAAGGAAUUGACGGGGGCCCGCACAAGCGGUGGAGCAUGUGGUUUAAUUCGAAGCAACGCGAAGAACCUUACCAGGUCUUGACAUACCAUGAAAAGCUAAGAGAUUAGUCUUUCCCUUCGGGGACAUGGAUACAGGUGGUGCAUGGUUGUCGUCAGCUCGUGUCGUGAGAUGUUGGGUUAAGUCCCGCAACGAGCGCAACCCUUAUUAUCAGUUGCCAGCAUUCAGUUGGGCACUCUGGUGAGACUGCCGGUGACAAACCGGGGGAAGGUGGGGACGACGUCAAAUCAUCAUGCCCCUUAUGACCUGGGCUACACACGUGCUACAAUGGUCGGUACAACG